UACGGAGGAUGCAAGCGUUAUCCGGAUUUAUUGGGUUUAAAGGGUGCGCAGGUGGCCCUAUAAGUCAGUGGUGAAAGUCUGCCGCUUAACGGUAGGAUUGCCAUUGAUACUGUUGGGCUUGAGUUUGGAUGAGGCAGGCGGAAUGUGUAGUGUAGCGGUGAAAUGCAUAGAUAUUACACAGAACACCGAUUGCGAAGGCAGCUUGCUAAUCCACAACUGACACUGAGGCACGAAAGCGUGGGGAUCAAACAGGAUUAGAUACCCUGGUAGUCCACGCUGUAAACGAUGAUCACUCGCUGUUUGCGAUACACAGUAAGCGGCUAAGCGAAAGCGUUAAGUGAUCCACCUGGGGAGUACGAUCGCAAGGUUGAA
rnacentral:rRNA from 1 species